AUACGGAGGGUCCGAGCGUUAAUCGGAAUUACUGGGCGUAAAGCGCGCGUUGGCGGAUAUUUAAGUCAGAUGUGAAAUCCCUGGGCUCAACCUAGGAACUGCAUUUGAAACUGGAUAUCUAGAGUAUGGUAGAGGUGAGUGGAAUUUCAGGUGUAGCGGUGAAAUGCGUAGAGAUCUGAAGGAACAUCAGUGGCGAAGGCGACUCACUGGGCCAUUACUGACGCUGAGGUGCGAAAGCGUGGGUAGCAAACAGGAUUAGAAACCCGGGUAGUCC
rnacentral:rRNA from 1 species